rnacentral:rRNA from 1 species
UACAGAGGGUGCGAGCGUUAAUCGGAAUUACUGGGCGUAAAGCGCACGUAGUCGGCUUUGCAAGUCGGUUGUGAAAUCCCCGGGCUCAACCUGGGAACUGCAUCCGAGACUGCAUUGCUAGAGUAUGGGAGAGGAAAGCGGAAUUUCUGGUGUAGCAGUGAAAUGCGUAGAUGUCAGAAGGAACAUCAGUGGCGAAGGCGGCUUUCCGGACCAAUACUGACGAUCAGGUGCGAAAGCGUGGGGAGCAAACAGG